rnacentral:rRNA from 1 species
AUUGAACGCUGGCGGCAUGCCUUACACAUGCAAGUCGAACGGCAGCACGGGAGCAAUCCUGGUGGCGAGUGGCGAACGGGUGAGUAAAGUAUCGGAACGUGCCCAGUCGUGGGGGAUAACGUAGCGAAAGUUACGCUAAUACCGCAUACGAUCUAUGGGUGAAAGCGGGGGAUCGCAAGACCUCGCGCGAUUGGAGCGGCCGAUAGCAGAUUAGGUAGUUGGUGGGGUAAAGGCCGACCAAGCCGAAGAUCUGUAGCUGGUCUGAGAGGACGACCAGCCACACUGGGACUGAGACACGGCCCAUACUCCUACGGGAGGCAGCAGUGGGGAAUUUUGGACAAUGGGCGAAAGCCUGAUCCAGCCAUGCCGCGUGCAGGAUGAAGGCCUUCGGGUUGUAAACUGCUUUUGUACGGAACGAAAAGGUUUGGCCUAAUAAGCUGAGCUCAUGACGGUACCGUAAGAAUAAGCACCGGCUAACUACGUGCCAGCAGCCGCAGUAA